UAAAACUUUCAUCCACUUGUUUAUUGUUUGGUAGGUAGGAAAUUGACUUAACUUUUUUUAUGUUUUCUAAAAAUAGCAAAUAUUUUGUUCUAAACUUAAGUGGAAAAGGAUUUUAGUUUUAUGGUUGUUUGGGUUUCUUUCCUACUACUUCAAAUCAUUAAGGUAAGAUUCCUCUACUAUUUCAUAUUAAGAAACUUUACAAGUCUGUUUAAUUUUCGAGUUGUUUUAAAUAAUCUAUUCCGUUAAGGUCUGCAGUGUAUGGUAUUGGACCCUUUUCUCCUUACAGGUAUGAUAAUGACAACAAUUCCAUUAGUACAAUUUGUCACUAAACUUAUCAUUGAAUGGUGUUAAGUUUAGCUUAAGUUUCCUCAACCGGGCUAUUACGUUGCAGCCAAGGAAGCAUCUGAAACCAUGAUGUCGCAAGCUAAGUCGCGCCAAGCUUAUCAUAAUGAGUUUUUCUUUGUUUUAGUUUCCUAUUGCGCUAGUGGUGUUUGUCUAUGAAGCAGUGAAAUUGUACAAGGGUUAAAAGAAGAGGAUGAGUACAAGAAAUUUGGAAUGUAUUUGUGAAGCUUUAAUUGAAUGGACUGUGUUGCACAUUGUGUUUUGUGCUCUCUGUGGAAUAUUAGGUGGAACCGUGGGAGGAUUACUUGGCUCUGGUGGUGGAUUCAUUUUGGUCCUCUUCUUAUUGAAAUUGGAGUUAUCCCUCAGCAGACACCAUGACAAAGAUUAGUCCUGAAAUUGAAACUAAGAUGCCAAUGGAAGCGGUUCCACCUGUUUCGACUUAUGUGAGUUUCAUUUCUAAUAGUUUUCCAAAGUAUAAACUAGGAGCUGAUCAUCAAGUUUUUCAAGAGCCUGCUGAGGAUAUCCACGGUCCUUCUUUGAAAGAUGUUAUUGAAAAAGAAGCUUCCAAUUUAUUAGACCAAAACAAGUGUAUCUCAUUUCGCGACCUUGCCAGUAAAUUCGACAAGAACUUGUCUGCGGCUGCUAAGUUGACAUAUAAAGUUGGUUAAUCAAGAGAAGUCUUUUGCUUGUGCAGAAAUCGAGAGUGCUAGAGCAGUUGUCCUGAGAAUUGAUGAAGCACUUGAGGAACAAAAAAAUCUACUCAAGCUUCUAGACCACAGGUUCUACUGUGCAUGUCUGCAUAUGACUCCUACCUUUUACUCUUAACUUAUAUUGUUUAAAAUGCUACUGCAGUUAAUUUAUUUCAUGUAUUUAAACUAUUUGCUCUGUUGUUUUGUAGAAAAAGCACAAUGCAAUUAUCAAAAAAUAAAAUUUACAGACAUGCCAAUUUAUAAAGUAUAUUUGAAUAAAUCGUCAGGUAAGUCCAAUCAGGUUGAAUUUUGUUAGUUGAGGAAGUUAAAAUAGUUUGGAGUAGUUUGUUGGAGUUCUACAAGAAAUUGGCAGAAAUAGGCUAUCAAGGGUGAACGGGAGAAGAUUAGGACUCUGGAUAGUUAGAAUUUGUUUUGGUGGGAUGGAAGAGGUCUGAGGCUCUCGAAUUCCUGAGAGGAAUAUCAAUAGCCUGUGUUUAUCUUCCUAACUAUGGCUCAUCACUGGUAUGGGGUUAAGGGAGGUUUCAUCAAUAAAACCAUGUUUUAAUUUUUCUUUCUUUCUCCUAUUUGAACCUGCAUCUAUCAGCUAGUAUUAGAGCUCAAUGUUGGAUUUGUUGUAAAGAUGUACUUUUCUACAUCUUAACGUAUACCAGUGCUCACGAAACAUAAUGCUCAUGUUAUUUGCAUUGAUCUGUUGUUUCUUAUAACAAUGGGAAAUCCCUAUAGGUUUUGCAAAGUUUAGGUAAUCUCGUUGCUGGUGAUUCCCAUGCAAGUUAUGUCGUUCUUGUACCUAUACUUGAAGUUACAAGCUAGUAUUUUUUUCAAUACUUGCUAAGUUAAAUACACACAUUUUAAUCAAACAGUAUGGGUCAAUUUCUUUCAUCUUAUUAUAUAAUGACAAUUUCAGAUACUGCCAUACAAGUCUUGAUAAAAUGUCUGAAAAGUGAACAAAGGGUCUUAAAGAAGGAAGCAGCUUGGGUGUUGUCUAAUAUAGCUGCUGGUUUUGUUCAGCACAAGCAGUUGAUAUAUUCUAGUGAGGCAGUGUCUUUGCUAUUGCACCUUCUUUCCGCCGCACCGUUUGAUAUAAGAAAGGAAGUUGCUUACAUAUUGGGAAACCUUUGUGUUUCCCCAACUAAAGGCAAUGAGAAGCCAAGUCUAAUCCUAGAGCAUCUGGUUUCACUUGUUGAAAAAGGAUGUUUGGCAGGUUUUAUUGAUUUGGUUAGAUCUGCUGAUAUUGAAGCUGCUAGGCUAGGGCUUUAGUUCAUAGAACUGGUCCUGAGAGGGAUGCCAAAUGGAAAGGGCCCAAAGCUUAUAGAACAAGAAGAUGGGAUUGAAGCCAUGGAAAGAUUUCAGUUUCACGAAAAUGAAGAUUUGAGAACUAUGGCAUCAUUUUGUCACUGUUAGUGACAAUUUCAGUUUUCUUGAAAUUGAAUAUUGACUUCUGAUAUACAUGUAAUGUAUAUAGAUUAUGAUAUGCAUGUAAUGUAUAUAGAUAAGACACUAAUGUGUUAUGGUUUAGGAA